rnacentral:rRNA from 1 species
UUGAGCAAAAAAAAAAGGCAAGCAUGGAAGAUUUUGGAGAACCCAACUUCUUUGAGCGCAAGGAUAUUGAAAUCAACUUAUUUUCCUCAUUCUGAAUUCCUUGAGGCGCAGCUGGGUAGCCAUCCCUCACAUACCUGGAGGGCAAUAAUUGAGGGUCGGGAGACAUUGAGGCAGGGAUUAAUUAGGCGGAUUGGCGAUGGAGAGACAACACGAAUAUGGGACAGUAAUUGGAUUCCCAGGAAAGAAAACAUGCGGCCUAUUGUGUCUUUGAUUGCUCACUCGCCGCAGAUUGUGUCUGUGUUGAUCGACUCAGUUAAUGCGUGCUGGAACUAUCCAUUAAUUGAGCAAAUUUUCUUACCAUAUGAUGCCACAUCCAUACAACAGAUCUCAAUAUGCACCUGCAACAUAGAUAAUUUCUAG